rnacentral:rRNA from 1 species
CCUACGGGUGGCAGCAGUGAGGAAUAUUGGUCAAUGGACGAGAGUCUGAACCAGCCAAGUAGCGUGAAGGAUGACUGCCCUAUGGGUUGUAAACUUCUUUUAUAUGGGAAUAAACUGUUCCACGUGUGGGCUUUUGUAUGUACCAUAUGAAUAAGGAUCGGCUAACUCCGUGCCAGCAGCCGCGGUAAUACGGAGGAUCCGAGCGUUAUCCGGAUUUAUUGGGUUUAAAGGGAGCGUAGGUGGAUUGUUAAGUCAGUUGUGAAAGUUUGCGGCUCAACCGUACAAUUGCAGUUGAAACUGGCAGUCUUGAGUACAGUAGAGGUGGGCGGAAUUCGUGGUGUAGCGGUGAAAUGCUUAGAUAUCACGAAGAACUCCGAUUGCGAAGGCAGCUCACUGGACUGCAACUGACACUGAGGCUCGAAAGUGUGGGUAUCAAACAGGAUUAGAUACCCCAGUAGUC